rnacentral:rRNA from 1 species
UACGGAGGGGGCUAGCGUUGUUCGGAAUUACUGGGCGUAAAGCGAACGUAGACGGUUGGAUAAGUCGGAUGUGAAAGCCCCGGGCUCAACCUGGGAAUUGCAUUCGAGACUGUUCAGCUAGGGUGCGGAAGAGGGAAGCGGAAUUUCCGGUGUAGCGGUGAAAUGCGUAGAUAUCGGAAGGAACACCAGUGGCGAAAGCGG